AUUGAACGCUGGCGGCAGGCUUAACACCUGCAAGUCGAACGAGUGGCGGACGGGUGCGUAAUGCUUGGGAAUCUCGCUUAUGGCGGGGGAUAACUACGGGAAACUGUAGCUAAUACCGCGUCCCCUACGUUGAGCCCAAGUGGGAUUAGGUAGUUGGUGAGGUAAAGGCCAACCAAGCCGACGAGCUCUAGCUGGUCUGAGAGGAUGACCAGCCACACGGAGACUGAGACACGGCCCAGACUCCUACGGGAGGCAGCAGUGGGGAAGAUGGCGCAAGGGGGGCAACCCUGACGCAGCCAUGCCGCGUGUAUGAAGAAGGCCUUAGGGUUGUAAAGUACUUUCAGCGGGGAGGCGUUACGCGCAGAAGAAGCACCGGCUAACUCCGUGCCAGCAGCCGCGGUAAUUC
rnacentral:rRNA from 1 species